AUCCAGCUGACGAGUCCAAAAUAGGACGAAAAGCGCGUCCUGGAU
rnacentral:hammerhead_ribozyme from 1 species